GAUGAAGAACGUAGCGAAAUGCGAUAAGUAAUGUGAAUUGCAGAAUUCAGUGAAUCAUCGAAUCUUUGAACGCACCUUGCGCUCCCUGGUAUUCCUCGGAGCAUGCCUGUUUGAGUAUCAUGAAACUCUCAAAGAAAAUCUUUUGUUAAUUCAAUUGGUUUGCUUUGGACUUGGAGGUUUUUUUUUGCAGAUUAAUUUCUGCUCCUCUUAAAUAUAUUAGCUGGAUCUCAGUAUAUGCUCGGUUCCACUCGGCGUGAUAAGUAUCACUCGCUGAGGACACUGGUAAAAAAGGUGGCCGGGAAAUACAGAUGAACCGCUUCAAACAGUCCAUUCACUUGGACAAUAUAAAGUUUUAAGAUCUGAUCUCAAAUCAGGUAGGACUACCCGCUGAACUUAAGCAUAUCAAUAAGCGGAGGA
rnacentral:misc_RNA from 1 species